AAACCUCGUCGUUCCUCGUCUCUGUAGCCGAAGGUCACUGAAGCAGGCCAAACCCCAGGGCCUCGAGCCUGGAGCCAGCGGAGGGCAGAGGCCGGAGGCUGAAGGGCAGAGGGCCAGGGCAGGCCCCCCGGAGCCAAGCAGAAAUUCCAGGACAGAGAGGAAAAUCCCAGGAUUUGGACCGAUUUUCAGGGGAUGGUGUGAAGAUAAAAUGAGGCAAACGAUGUGAAAGAGCUCUGGAAACGAUUUUAUGAAGUGAUCUACAAAGCAAAUUAUUUCCAAAGAAGUUACCCUUUCAUGAACCGGCAGCAAAAUUGCUCAACAGGACCACAGAGGCCAGAGCAGAAGGGAGAUAAUCAGGACCAGAGAGGAUGGGCCGGGGUGACUGGUUCCAGACAGCAGAGUUUACCCUCUGCAUCGGCGCAUACUGAAGGUGUGAUGCCCCAUGGGGAGAAGUUAGUGUGUUGUGGGGCUCUGAAGAAGGGGGGCCUGCGAAUCUGCGAGAUGGUCAGAGGAAAGGCAGCAGGCUGCUGCUGAGGAGAGCGCAGAGACCACCCGAGGAUCACCCACCCCUGGCUCACCUGUU